UCAUGGCAACACCGGAUCCUCAACCCUCUGAGCAAGGCCAGGGAUCAAACCCACACCUCAUGGUUCCUAGUCUAUUCGUUAACCACUGAACCACGACGGGAACUCCCAGAAUGCCCCUUCAUUACUGCUUUACAUCAAGCAGCUCGACAGCCUAUACAUUCUCCUCCUGUAGACGAAUUGCACAGGUCCGAUCAUAAUGAGAUGGCUUGUAGCAGGGAACCCCGGGAUGGGGGGUCUGCUUCUGGAAUCCUAAGUCACGUAAAAGGUCUGGGCCAAGCUUGCCGUGUCCAGCCUUGUGAUGAGCAGUCUUCCCUGCCCCCCACCCAGUUCGUGGGCCAGGGCACCUUCGGUCCUAGAGAGUGCUUCUGCAGGUCAGUUAUUUUAUGCUCUGUAAAGUGUCUCGGACCAAAGUCUCCUUCUCGAGGACAAGUGAUACCACAGUUCCUGAAGCCACUCACUUCUGGAGGUGAGGCUGGAUGUGACCUGUAAGUUUCAUUUUUGUUUCAUCCGUCUCCUCUGUUGAAGGCGGAGGCUCAUCACCAUUGAGGUUUUUCACCCUUUAGCACCGAAGAACUUAACAAGUGCAGGGCAUUGUUUGAUAAUAAGGCAGAAGGGUCAUAAAGUUUUAGUCAAAGUAUGUGCCUAGAAAUAACUGGCUGUACCAGGGCUUCCGUCUUAAAAUCCUCAGGGAGGAACCUGGCAUUUGCUCCACGUAAAAAUGUAUUCAGGAGUGUCCCUGUUGUGAUGCAACGGGAUUGGCACGGUGUCUGCAGCACCAGGAUGCAGCUUCGAGCCUCAGCCCAGCACAGCGGAUCAAAGGAUCUGGCAUUGCUGAAGCUGCAACUUGCGUCUGAUCCUUGGCCUGGGAACUCCAUUUGCCAUGGACUCGCCAAAAAUGAAAAAAAUAACGUGUUCAGGGGUUCACCCGAGGGAGUGCUUGGAUGGGAGCAAGGUGGAAGCUGUGUUACAGGAUGAAACGUGGCACAAGUGAGCGCAGCGGUGAGACGGGGAAGGUGAUUGAGCGAUUCUCUGCCUGAGACACGGCCCUCAGCCGCUGGUCCUUAGCUGGGCCUCCUUUAAAGGCAGACCCCUCCCGCCGGGAGUCCCCAGGGGGCCACCAGUACCACACAGCAGAUGGGGGCGGGGGCUGGAAAGGAGGUCACCCAUCGAUAAGAAAACGGCACCCACGGAGGUCGGGUAACCCACCCACGGUCACACAGCCGCAGACGGCCGGCGGUGGCCUUUGCCCCUUUUCCAGCACCGUGCUAGGGGGCCUGAGGACCCUCUAGGAGAAGUGGCCUUUCGUGGAGGUGAAAGGGAAGACCCCUGCUAGUGCUCUUGUCUUUCCAGAAACCUCUGCAAGAGCCUAAGGCCUGCAUUCCUCCCUGGGUUGUCCUUCCACGGAACACAGCAUCUCGGGAGAUCCUCGGCUCUCUGUGGGUCCUCGCGAGCCCUCCUCUCUGAUUGCAGGGCUUUAGGGUCAUGCUUUAUGUUAUAAAAUUUGGCUCUGUCUUGUCCCCUUUCCUCUCCUGUUGGCUUCCUUGACUCAGUGGGAUCCUGCCAGAGGAAAGAUUUUAAUUGAUGAUGCAUGAAAAGGUAAUGAGAGGAAAUAUAAAAGAAAGAAGAAUUCCUUUUUAGUUAGGCUUGGUGUGUCACCUGCGAGUUUUAAUGAACUAUAUUUAUUUUUAUAAACAUGCCUGGGAAGCUAAGUGUAUUAGUCACCCACUUAGACUUUUUCAUUAAAUCGUGACACGUUUGAAGAGGAAGAGUGGGUUUUUUUUUGUUUUUUUUGUUUUUCAAGUUAUUUCAUAGGGGAAGCAUUGUGGAGUCGAACUUUCUGGAGUAUUAUUUCCCAACAUCAAGAAAUAGAAGAAGAUGAUAUGUUUUAUGAAUGGAGGCGAUGGGACUAGGAGUGUGCUUUUGAAAGUGGGAAGGAGCCUAUCCUGAUGGAGAUUUUCCAAAGCACGUGUGAGGAGCAUGUGAUCAAAGACUCGAGAAUAUUCUUGACUUUCAUCAUUGAUUAGAAAGUAACCGAAGUGUACAGGAUGUCUAAGAAAUCCUCCCGUGGCCAGUUGUCGUUUGGGUGAUGAGUGAAUGGGACCAGAGUCGUAGGUUUAGUCCCGGGUAAGUUCACUUUGCUCUCUUAUCGCAGACACAGGAAGCACCUUCCACAGAGCCACUCUUUUUUCUGCGUGUUUAACAUGACCCCUAGGAAAAGGUGUAUAAGAAUAAAUGAGUGCAUCCCAUCCCUCUUUUACAGAAACAGGAAACAAAGCAGAUGUGCCUGGGAUGGGGACAGUUUCCGCAGUGUCCGUCAUCUUUGUGUAAGGGGGUCACUGAGCCCCGAUUUCCUUUUGCCCUCUUCCUCUCGCAGAGAAGGGUCGUGGAGAGCAGAAAUCUGUGCCAUUUUCUUACCGUUGCACAUUUGAAGAAAUCACCAAGGCAUACUGCUCCACAGUUCAGAAAAUCACACAGCAUGUGUAAAAGUGGACCUGGUCUGGGUUGAAAGCUCAGAGCAAGAGAAACACCAAAUGCAAGAGUCCGAACAGGGGACUUCACAACAACAGUCCCGUCUCUUUAUGCAGGGAGACAAUGUAUCAUUUGCUCAGCAGAAAACUGGAUGACACAACAGUCACUCUUUUCUUCCAGUGCUGGAAAUGCAGGUGCACCAUGAGGCCAUUUUGCGGCUCUUUCUCCCUCUUUAGGUGUGUUUGUCCAUGCAGAGAAAGGAGAGUCAUGCAGAACCAUUAUUACAUGGGCUGAAAGUGAACCAGAACUUUAAAAAGGUACCAGAAGUUCCCUUAUCUUACUGCUGCAUGGAUUUUAUUCUUUAAAUUUAUUGCACAAAUAAUCCAUGCUCAGUCAAAGUACAGACUGAAAGAAGAACAGAAAGAGUAUCCAUAAUUUAUAAAUUUAUCCUUCCAGAGAAAAUCACUGGUAAUGCUUUGGCAUAUGUCCUUUUGAAUCUUUCCUGUGCAUUUAUUUGUGUAUUACUUUCCUGGAAAAUGGGAUCCAUCUGAGGUUUACAUUAAAUUUUUAAAGGUUGCAAUCAGGGAAGGAAUAACAGCUUGAAUUUGAAGAACACUAGUAGAAAAAGUUUGAGGAAAUGGGAGAAAACAUUUUUAAAAGCGUAUAGUUAUAGAACCAUUCUGUGUAUAGUGGAACUGCCAAUACUAAAAAACAAAGCACAAAGCAAAAAAAAAAAACCGCUAUUCAUGGUAACCCUUAUUCCUAUCUGUUAGGUUAGCUUAAUUUUUUUUUGGUUUCAGUUUUGUCCAAUCUGAUUGUUUAUAAUUUCUUCUAGGCAAAAUUGGGGCAAAUUGCCCCUGCCAGGUUCUCUAAGGUGUGUGGACCAUGUCUGUGACAGAGGAAGUGCAUCAGGCUGUGCUCAAACCCAGCUGACACUUCUACUGCAGGCUCCUCUCCCCUCAACUUUUGUUGUUGUUGUUGUUGCUGUUGAAGAAUGAAAGUCGAAGAAUUCCCUGAGGGCUCCGCGGAUUAAGGAUCUGGCUUUGUCACUCCAGUGGCUUGGGUCACUGCUUUGGCAUGGCUUCGAUCCCUGGCCCAGGAAUUUCCACAGGCCGCAGACCUGGCCAAAAAAAAAGAGAAAGAAAAAGAAUUAAAGGCGAGUAGUGCCUUGUGGUACAUCUCUGUCGUUUCCACCUUCUGACAGCAGGUGAAAACUUCUUACCUGGUUAAGUCACCCUCGAUGGAGCUUAUGUGAUUCUGCACUUCUUGAACUUAGCCGGUUCUCUGACCUCCCUGCUCUGUGUGUGACUGUAUCACAUCCUAGAUGCCCUUGCUUUGACCUUGGGUUCUGAUGUAGUCAUAAACUACUUGAAGUCAGAGAUGCCAUCUCCCAUGUCUGUCUCGGGGUCCGUUGCAGGCUCAGUGAAGGAAUGAAGGAAGCAGUAAAUGAGCAGUCACCGGCGUUUGUUGAGAGCGCACUGUGUGCCAGGCACUGGUCUGAGUGCUUCUUGGGGUUCUCUCAUUUAUUGGAGCCUCAGGACGGCCCUUUGUGGUUGCCCAAAUGCCUCGUUAUGCCUUCUGAAGGUCCUGUGUUUGUGGGCAGUCUUGAAGCUUUGUGUCUGAUUAUCACUGCUGGAAGGUGUAAAAUCAUAGACUUAGACUUCUGGACCUGCUAAGUAACUCAAGGAUCAUGUUAUUGACAGCCAAGGAUGCAGAUGCAGAGGGAUUAAGAGGCCUGCCUGGCGUCACAUAGCUGCUCCGCUGCAGAGGGCGGGUGAAGAAUGCAGGUUUCCCCGAGCCCCAGACCAGUGUCCUCUUACUUGACAGCUCUCUGCUCUGCCCCCAGAGCCUGUCCUGUGGUUAGGUCCCCUUCCCUUCGAGGACGUUAGCAUCAGUGCAUGUCAACAUUGGGUGUUACUUAUAUUCACAUUAAGUCACUGUUAAUUCUAGGAAUAAAUCGUAAUAAUGCAUUAAUCAUAUUAAGAAAUGUUAAGCGUUCCCAUUGUGGCUCAGCAGUAAUGAAUCCGACUAGUAUCCUUUAAGACUCAGGGAUCCAACCUGCGUCCUCAUGGAUGCUAGUCAGAUUGGUUUCCACUGAGCCACACUGGAAACUCCAGUGCUGACAUGUUCUGAAGGCAGACAGGAUGGAUUCACGGGAGAGGUGACUGUGGAGUGUGAGGGAGAGGAAGGAGCCCAGGAGGACUUGGCGGGGGCCGGGAUCUGGCCUGAGCAUCUGGAAGAACAGACGGGCCAUUUUGUGAGGCAGGAAAGGCAGAAGGAAGAACUCCGCGGUACCCAGGUCCACCAGGGCAAAGAAUGUGUGCCACUGAGUCCGCUCCUGGCGGCCUCUCAGCCCUCCCACCACACCUGGUUUUCAUCAGAGCUCAUACUGUCCAGCCAGGUCCCAGUCACCUCGUGCUAACCUGUCACCAGCAUCAGCAUCAUCCUUUACGCCCCAGCCCUCAGGGCCUUCUUCCCUGGCCUCCACGGCACCCCGUGUGCUUCUCCUCCCUCAGCCUGGGGCAGAAAACAUCAAGGCAGCCGAUAGAAAGGAGUCCAGCUUUCCUCUUUUAUCAAAAUGUCUCUAGGAAGUCUGCAUUCCUAAAUACUCCCAAGAGUUGCCCUGGGCAGGCUCUGAGGGCCCUUGCCAAAGCCCUUUUGUGUUUCAUUUGUAUCGCCUGUGAAGGGCACUAGGCCACCUCUCAGUUAUUUACCCCGAUGCGAGAACAGAGCCAGAACAGAACCGUAGGGAGCAGAGCCACAUCCGUGGCCCGUACCCAAGUCGCUCGCCCUAUGACUCGACAGCAUCCGCAGAUAAUGGAAAGGUGUAUGUGUUGUUAGGAAUAAUGAGGGGAUGCGAGAUACCAGAUGCCCGGUGGAACACCACAGAGGAGAUUUCCUCUUGCCAACAGUCUUGCCAGGCCCGGGUCAAG